rnacentral:rRNA from 1 species
UGGCCUACGGGAGGCAGCAGUGAGGAAUAUUGGUCAAUGGACGCAAGUCUGAACCAGCCAUGCCGCGUGCAGGAUGACGGCUCUAUGAGUUGUAAACUGCUUUUGUACGAGGGUAAACCCCGAUACGUGUAUCGGGUUGAAAGUAUCGUACGAAUAAGGAUCGGCUAACUCCGUGCCAGCAGCCGCGGUAAUACGGAGGAUCCGAGCUCUAUCCGGAUUUAUUGGGUUUAAAGGGUGCGUCGGCGGUUUGAUGAGUUAGAGGUGAAAU